GGCACCUAAGACAAUAGAUUACAAAGCCAGUCAAGUUUUCAUACGAGGCAAUCAUAUGGAAAGCAAUUAGGAAACGUUAGGAGGGAAUAGGAAUAUGCUUUAAACAUUGGGUUCACAAUUGGUGAUGGAAGGAGAAUGCCAUUUUGGAGUAACAAUUAGUUAGGGCAUGAUCCUCUUAAGGAUUUGUUCUCUGAUUUAUUUUGCUUAACAACUACAUCUUAGGCUACAUUAGAGGAGGCAUGGAGUUCUAGAGGAUGGAACCUUUCUUUCAAAAGUCAAAGGACUAGGAGAAAAGGGUGACUGAAAAGCUGAAGACGGAUCCUCUUAAGGAUUUGUUCUCUGAUUUAUUUUGCUUAACAACUACAUCUUAGGCUACAUUAGAGGAGGCAUGGAGUUCUAGAGGAUGGAACCUUUCUUUCAAAAGUCAAAGGACUAGGAGAAAAGGGUGACUGAAAAGCUGAAGACGGUUUUUUUUCAUGGUUCCAGGAAUGAUGAGGAUUCAGUUACAUGGAAUGGAGGAAAAAACAAGAGAUUCUCAGUUAGUUCUGCAUAUUCCUUACUUUUAGAAUCAGCUCACACCCCAGAUUGGUCAUGGAAGUUAUCUAGAAAAUAAAAGUUCCCUACAAGGUGACAUUCUUUUGCAGGGCUUGUUAUCAAGAGAGCUUGUUGACUCAUGACAUUAUAAAAGACAGGGAUUCAACUAAGUUCCAGCUGCUUUUUGUGCCAAGAGAAGGAAGAAAGUAAUAGUCACCUCUUCCUUCAUCGUAAAGUAACUCAUGUACUGUGGCAGUUAUUCUUUGCCUUAGCUGAGAUCCAAUGGAUGAUCCCAAAGAACACUAACCUACUAAGGACCUAUU
rnacentral:lncRNA from 1 species